UACAGUGGUGGCAAGCGUUGUUCGGAAUUACUGGGCGUAAAGGGCGCGUAGGCGGCUUUUUAAGUCAGACGUGAAAUCCCCCGGCUUAACCUGGGAACUGCGUCUGAUACUGGGAAGCUUGAGUUCGGGAGAGGGAUGUAGAAUUCCAGGUGUAGCGGUGAAAUGCGUAGAUAUCUGGAGGAAUACCGGUGGCGAAGGCGGCAUCCUGGACCGAAACUGACGCUGAGGCGCGAAAGCUAGGGGAGCAAACGGG
rnacentral:rRNA from 1 species